CGUAAGCUUCAGCUGUGUCUGAUGGAGGCAGCAGGAGCGUUCCGUGGGAGGACCCACCGCCCGCGUGGGGUGCUGCUGGUGUGCCGAGGGACCGCGGUCUGCCCCGGCGCCCAGGUUGCCCUUGGGUGGAGGCUGCGGGGAGCGGAGGCAUUCCCAGGCUUCGGCUGGGCAAGGAUUUAGGCAGGGUCAGCGCGUGCCUUCGGACCUGCUCGCUGGAAAGCGUCCCGCAGCUUAAACAGCCGGAAAGCACCACUUGAUGACUUGGCCAUGAAUUGCAAACUUGGUAGGCAAACUGCCUUUGCAAACCAGCAACAGCAGAAGACUUUCUAGAGGAGGUACACUGGCCAGAGGUAGGCCCAGAAUAUUAAUUUACAUGACCAUAAAAACGUUCAGAAACAGACAUUCCAGUGCUCCAAAAUUUCAGAGGGCCAGUACGUGAAGAAGUAGGGGGUUUAUACAGAAAGGAUUUUGGUUUUUCAGGCACACAGAAGCAUUUUGGGGAAGAAGAACUAACUAGAAGAUCCUCCUUGAUACCUCUGGAACUAGACUGUGGACGUGGAGUUUGGCAAGCUUUUGAGGGAUCAUUUGAAAAGUCCAAAAGAUCCUUUAAAUCAUGUGGAAAUCCUUCUUCAAAUGGAAAACCUGCCUUAGUAAAGAAAAAGGAAAGAGCAUGGCUGAUGAAAUGUUUGCUUUAUAUGUAAGAGGAUGUACUGAGAAAUGUAAAGAAAACAUCACAUUAUGACAUACGAUCCAUUCUUCAUGUGGAUUUCCAGCAGUAAUAACUGUUUAAAGUUGUUUAGUUGUUUUUUUUUUUUUUUUUUCAGGUGAUCAAAUUAUGCCUGUGUUGAGUGAUAGGAAACAUCAUAAUGAGGACAUAUGAGAUGGCCUGUACUUCCCCUUACAUCUUUGGCAGCAGUUAGUCUGUACUGAUAAAAAAAAAAGACUGGACUUUGAAAAUUAAAAAACUGAGUUCAAGACCUUCAUUAUGAGAAAGUGAAGAUUAAAAGGACAGUAGCUUUGAUUGCAGUAUUAUGCCUCUGUAAAUUAAUGUUAAGUGUCUGAAGCUUCAUUAGGCACAAAAACAUCAAAGAUGGAGGCAUUUUCAUAAUGUUAUUUUGAUCACUAAAAACUAGCAAUAUGUUUUAUUCUCAUAGAAAAUUAAUUUCUAACAAUGCUUCUUUCUUUGUGGCAGUUUUGCAAUGGCUACACCAACUCAUGCAAGAAAAUGAGAACAAGUAUGCUAGUCAAAUAAAAUGUAUUGGUUUGGUUUUUUUUCUUUAGUAUCUUCUACAAGCAGUAGUCAUAUGCCUGCAUCCUGGAUUCACUUACACAUGACGUUAAGACUCCAAAGCAGGACUGCAGGAAGCAACAGGAGUCUGCAAGCAGCAAAGGCUGAGUUACGAGACUGAAAAGAGGAGCUGAAAUGAAGAACAUCUGCCUGAAGGCAGCCAAGAACAAACUGCAGGCAAACCCAGAAAAACAGGCUGAAGAAAUGGACAGACCGGAAUAGAAGUAGCCAUGACAGAUGAGUCACCUAGUUCAAUAAAGAGCAAACCUGAGAUCCAGACCGUAUUAGCUACCCAUAGAUUAAAACAGAAUAAACAAAUCCCUUCAGAACAAUGCAAAAAGCUUUCGGGACUGGUCAGUGGUGUGUUGGAAAAGAUGCUUUUAAACAGGCAUUAAACAUAAACAGCAGAUAUCAAAGCUUCUCAAAUUGCCAACAAGAAAACAUAAUGUUGUGUUUUCAGUCCUUGGAGCAACUGACUGGCAGGGACAGAAACACAGUGUUCUUCAAGGGGGUUCAUCCUGCCCCCAGAACUUCAUUAGAACUAUACACAAAAGAGCUGAAGCAGGCGAGGUAAACAAAACUAGAAACAGUUUCUUCUCUUCAAAUCCAAAUGCAAGGUAAAGUACAUUGAGGAAAGAAUUUGGUUUCAUUUGUUCUCUGCUGUCCUGCCAUUGCCUAGUAACAUUUUCAAACAGUGCUGGCUGCUACUUGGAAUCAGAAUUAGGAGGAGGCUUGACUUUCUUCCCUCAAAGCAAAUAUUGGCUUUUUGGUGAAAAAUUGGAUGCUGAAGGUCUGAGCCUGACCUCAUCAAUUUUCAACCUCAAGCUUUCAUGUUUAAAACUAUGUUUUUUCAAUGUGGAGUGCUACUUUCAUGCCUUGUGGGAACUGCAGCUCAAUUGCUCGUAUCCCAUUUUCUUUCACGAUUUCCAGUGAAAAUGCAACAUCUCACAUGAAAAAUGAUCACAUUUUAGUGUUUAGUAGAAACAAUUUUCUUCUGGAAACAAACCAACCAAACACUGAAACUUUUCACAAGGCAAUGCAUGUUGGAGUUCAAGCUUGUGAUGCAUGAAAAGCAAAGACUGCCUCUGCUAGCCACUUGCAAAGCUGUGGUAAAGGACACUCAAAAUUCACCUGACUUUGCCAAAAAUAUAAUUUAGGAUGAAGGGUCAAGCUGCACAGAAGCGAGGCAUCACUACACCUAGAGUUGCCUCCGAAACCUUAAUUUAGCUACCAUGGGAAUCCAUUUUCUGCAUGAAAUGUAAGAGGCAAAAAAGGGGAAGAAUAGAACGUGAUUACAUAAUUAAAGACUGUAUUGAAUUGUAAUUGCAGGAGGGAACAGAAUAAAGGUUGCCAGGAAAUAAUUUAUCUGGUGUUUCCUAACUUCCAGUGUCAGACCUCAGUUCCUCCGCCUGCAUUCCCCGCCGGACGGUCACCCACCAGCUGCGGUCCCACAGUUGCAUGGCUGUGUUAAGGUAGCGUGGUGCCAAGCUAACAUUUCAAGCACUCGUCUGUGCUUUUUGAGUCGAGCAGGCUAAAACAACUGAAGUGGCUGCGAGAGCGACUGCUAAAGCCACUCUCCAGCAUCUGGACUGAAGCUGGCCAAUAUCUGUGCUGCUGACAGCACAAGCAGAGCUUGCUUAGGAGCGGCAGCACUUAAAAAAGUAAAUGACAGCAAAAAAGCUUGCAAGCUAAGUAAUAUUCUUUUUGCGUAUUGGUUUGGAAGUUAAUUCCUUAGCUGUUUGCUUGAAAAGAUGACUGAAACAACUUGUGUUACGUGACGGUGUAUGAAUCCCCACCAUCAGAUUUGAACCCUCAGUUGUUUUUCACAUCACUGGUGUUGAAGCUUGACAGACCUGACUUUUGGACAACAGGAGUCUGUUGUUCUUUGUGGGCAUAGAAGUCCAUGCGCUAGUGCUUAGAUGCCCUCAUGAAGGAGAAACACAGCGAUUCUUCUGUGGAGUGAGUUUGUGCUCUACGUGGGACUUCUUGAUUGAGGCUGGGUAGCUGUGCCCUCCUCUCAAAGCAUGGGUGCAGAAGGGACCUUGCUCGGCGUAGCACGUGUUUUCCAUUCCUACUCCUCACUCAGAGCUGGAGGUCCUCAGCUCGCCGGGGGUGGGUCGGGUGCUGGGGGCAGGCGGUUCACUGGCUGGAGUGUGAUCUGCCUCUCAUUCUUGGGCACGAAAAAUGCCCAAGCCUGUAAGACGUGGCUCAGCUCCUUUCCUCCAGAAUUCAGUGAUGACUCCUACCUUACAAUAUUUGUGCAUUUACUUAUUUUAGUAUUGCCACAUAUCAAAGAUUUGGUGGAAAAGAUGGUGUGAUAAGAACUUCUCGGAGAAGGAGGUGCGAUCCUGCUUUGUAAGAGGUGUGGAGGCACAACCAGCCCCAUGCAGCAGUGUCUCAUUGUAGAAACAAUCACAGGAAGGUUACUGCAAUGACUAAAAAAGUUACAAAAAGGAGACCUUGAAAGCUACCAUUAUUUCUCCUAAAUUCUUUUAGAGAUGCUCUGGUGCAGCUGUGCAAAGGACUCCUUGACUCUCCGUGUGGAGUGUGGAUGCUGAGUCAUUCUGAUGUCAAAUGCCCGAAGGCUGCAGGAAAUUGCAGGUCUGUUGUUGCUGAGUCAUUGUGGCACGUACAUCUUGUUAACCUCGGCUGGCAUGCAGGAAGGACUGAUACGCAUCUCUCACUCCUCACAUGCCUCCUUGUCUCUCACGGGUUGAGGACUGCGGGCUGCUUUGGAGAUGUCCUGGAGAAUAAUCCUGGGAAUACCCUGAGAUGAUGUUUAUUUUCUGGUUGCUUCUUGAGCUCCUAAAUAAAUGGAAUGCUAGAGUAAAGAUGCUUCAGUCAAGGACUUUUGGGGAACUCAGAAAAACUUUUCAUGCCCUGGGCCACUUCUAACCCUAUACUGGCUUUCUGUACAUAGAAGAGGAAGCAACACAGAAUAGUGCUCAGCUGAGAAAAGAAAGAAGUGCAGAAAAGGAGAUAGGUGAGACGGGGUCCGUGGGGAAGAAAGAGAAGAAUAAGGCACAGUUGCAGAACGGAGCCUAAAGAUUUCCUGGAGACUGACUGUGGAAAGGGUGGGACCCUGUGUUUUAAGGUCAGAAAUGAGCCUGGGAGAAGAGAAGAGGGAUGACUGGUUAAAGAGACUGGAACAAACGUACUGGGAAUAUAGGCUGGGACUAGGAGAUCAAGGAAAGGAAUGUAGUACCUUGAAUUAUGGAAGGAGAGACAGAUGGUGGAGAGAGGUUACAAGGGGAAAAGCAGAGCAAUUUUUAAAGAAGAAGUAGCAGAAAAGUUGCCAGACAGUAUUUGUCUCUGGAGGUUGGAACUCAAGAUGCUGGAGAUUCUUCUUUUGGUACAAACAAAUACCUGUGGAAACCUAAAGGGAAAAGUUAGGAUGUUUAUCUGCAAGUAUGAAGUGUUAUAUACUACACAUAUACAAGGACAUUGAAUUAAGUCUACGUAGAAAACUUUCAUUCUAGUGUUAUUUAACUUCUGUUUUCCUAACUUUGAAACUUUUUAAAUGGUCAUUCUGUAGCUUUAUAAUGGUUUUGUCUUCUGUGUGGCUUAAUAAAUAUUUUUUUCUAUUACCCCAACACUGCAAUAAGGAUCACAAGGACAAGCAAUUCAGUCAGCACGCUUACAACCUUUGCAAGUAGUUCAUUCUUUUUUUACUUUCUUUUCAAGGAGGGAUUUGUAUAUUUUGAAUGGUGUUUUGGUUUUAGUAGGCCUUCCUUCCUUUCUUGUGUGUUUACGCUGGAGGAGGCAAGGCAGUGGACACUCAUCUUGCAUAGUGAAGUUUGCAAUGAUCCUUAGUUUCUGUCGGCUAUAUCUAACAAAAUUAUCUUUUUUUUUUUUUUUCAUGAACUAAGAUUGACGUACACUGCAUGAAGUUUAAUUGUACUUGAAUUGUGUUUAUUCUGGGGCUUUACCUGAUGUAUUUGCAUCAUUCUGUAUACAAUAUCCAACUAUUACUUUAAUGUGAAAAGCAUCAGGAAAAUAUAUUUUUACUAAUCA